rnacentral:rRNA from 1 species
AGCGGCGAACGGGUGAGUAACGCGUAGGAAUCUACCUAGUAGAAGGGGAUAGCCCGAGGAAACUCGGAUUAAUACCGUAUACGUCCUUAGGGAGAAAGAGGGCUUAGCUUUGAUGCUCUCGCUAUUAGAUGAGCCUGCGUAAGAUUAGCUUGUUGGUGAGGUAAAGGCUCACCAAGGCGACGAUCUUUAGCUGGUCUGAGAGGACGAUCAGCCACAUUGGGACUGAGACACGGCCCAGACUCCUACGGGAGGCAGCAGUGGGGAAUAUUGGACAAUGGGCGCAAGCCUGAUCCAGCCAUACCGCGUGUGUGAAGAAGGCCUUCGGGUUGUAAAGCACUUUAAGUAAGGAAGAAAAGAGUAUUGUUAAUACCAAUACUCCGUGACAUUACUUACAGAAUAAGGACCGGCUAAUUCCGUGCCAGCAGCCGCGGUAAUACGGAAGGUCCAAGCGUUAAUCGGAAUUACUGGGCGUAAAGCGCGCGUAGGUGGUUUAUUAAGUUGGGUGUGAAAGCCCCGGGCUCAACCUGGGAACUGCAUCCAAAACUGAUUCACUAGAGUACGAAAGAGGAAAGUAGAAUUCACAGUGUAGCGGUGGAAUGCGUAGAUAUUGUGAAGAAUACCGAUGGCGAAGGCAGCUUUCUGGUUCUGUACUGACACAGAGGUGCGAAAGCGUGGGUAGCGAACAGGAUUAGAUACCCUGGUAGUCCACGCCGUAAACGAUGACAACUAGCUGUUGGGAAGCUAUGCUUUUCAGUGGCGCAGCUAACGUCUUAAGUUGUCCGCCUGGGGAGUAC